UGGUCAAGUUAUUAAGGGUGCAGGGCGGAUGCCUUGGCACUAGGAGCCGAUGAAGGACGUGAUAAGCUGCGAUAAGCUUCGGGGAGUUGCACGUAAACUUUGAUCCGAAGAUUUCCGAAUGAGGAAACUCACUUAGAGUAAUGUCUAAGUAUCAUUAAGUAAAUACAUAGCUUAAUGAGGGGAACUCAGGGAACUGAAACAUCUAAGUACCUGAAGGAAGAGAAAGAAAUUCGAUUCCGUAAGUAGCGGCGAGCGAACGCGGAUUAGCCCAAACCAAUAAAGUUUUCUUUAUUGGGGUUGAGGACAUACCAUGUAUAAGAAGUCAUUAUAGACGAAGAAGUUUGGAAAAACUCAUCACAGAAGGUAAUAAUCCUGUAGUCAAAAUAAUAAUUCUUUAGGUAUGAUCCAGAGUACCACGGGACACGUGAAACCCUGUGGGAAGCAGGAGGGACCACCCUCCAAGGCUAAAUACUACCUAGUGACCGAUAGCGUAUAGUACCGUGAGGGAAAGGUGAAAAGAA
rnacentral:rRNA from 1 species